rnacentral:tRNA from 1 species
UAGACUGAUGUCCACUGGUUUGAGCGCUUAGCUGUUAACUAAGAAUUUGUAGGGUCGAGGUCCGACCGACCAAA